rnacentral:piRNA from 1 species
UUUGAAUCUCAUUAUGAAUGC